rnacentral:rRNA from 1 species
GAUGAACGCUAGCGGCAGGCUUAAUACAUGCAAGUCGAGGGGCAGCAUGGUGUAGCAAUACACUGAUGGCGACCGGCAAACGGGUGCGGAACACGUACAGAACCUUCCUUCGAGCGGGGAAUAGCCCAGAGAAAUUUGGAUUAAUACCCCAUAGUAUAUUGAAAAGGCAUCUUUUUAAUAUUAAAGAUUUAUCACUUGAAGAUGGCUGUGCGGCGGAUUAGGUAGUUGGCGGGGUAACGGCCCACCAAGCCUGCGAUCAGUAACUGGUGUGAGAGCACGAACAGUCACACGGGCACUGGGACACGGGCCCGACUCCUACGGGAGGCAGCAGUAAGUAAUAUUGUUCAAUGAACUAAAGUCUGAACCAGCCAUGCCGCGUGGAGGAUGAAGGUCCUCUGGAUUGUAAACUUCUUUUAUAUGGGACGAAAAAAGGCUUUUCUAAGUCGUCUGACGGUACCAUAUGAAUAAGCACCGGCUAACUCCGUGCCAGCCGCCGCGGUAAGAC